CCUACGGGGGGCUGCAGUGGGGAAUAUUGGACAAUGGGGGCAACCCUGAUCCAGCCAUGCCGCGUGUGUGAAGAAGGCCCUCGGGUUGUAAAGCACUUUCAGUGAGGAAGAACGCCUGGUGGUUAAUACCCAUCAGGAAAGACAUCACUCACAGAAGAAGCACCGGCUAACUCCGUGCCAGCAGCCGCGGUAAUACGGAGGGUGCGAGCGUUAAUCGGAAUUACUGGGCGUAAGCGCGCGUAGGUGGCUUGAUAAGCCGGUUGUGAAAGCCCCGGGCUCAACCUGGGAACGGCAUCCGGAACUGUCAAGCUAGAGUGCAGGAGAGGAAGGUAGAAUUCCCGGUGUAGCGGUGAAAUGCGUAGAGAUCGGGAGGAAUACCAGUGGCGAAGGCGGCCUUCUGGACUGACACUGACACUGAGGUGCGAAAGCGUGGGUAGCAAACAGGAUUAGAUACCCCAGUAGUC
rnacentral:rRNA from 1 species